GGAGGAGUAGGGGUGGACGCUAAGGGUGUUUGGUGGGGUGGAGGAUGGGGAGGGUUUGAGGGAGUAGGGGUAGAUGGUGAGUUCAGCUACAUGCUACUGUAGGUUACUCCCCCAUAUGGCUGAGUUCUGUUCAGCUACUUUAGGUUACUCUCCCAUACGGCUAAGUUCUGUUCAGCUGCUUUAGGUUACUCUCCCAUAUGGCUGAGUUGACUGUUCAGCUACUGUAGGUUACUCUCAUGCUACAGUAGGUUACUCUCCCAUGCUACAGUAGGUUACUCUCCCAUGCUACAGUAGGUUACUCUCUCCCAUGCUACUGUAGGUUACUCUCCCAUGCUACUGUAGGUUACUCUCUCAUGCUACUGUAGGUUACUCUCCCAUGCUACUGUAGGUUACUCUCCCAUGCUACAGUAGGUUACUCUCCCAUAUGACUGUAGGUUACUCUCCCAUGCUACUGUAGGUUACUCUCCCAAGCUACUGUGGGUUACUCUCCCAAGCUACUGUAGGUUACUCUCCCAUGCUACUGUAGGUUACUCCCCCAUAUGGCUGAGUUCUGUUCAGCUACUUUAGGUUACUCUCCCAUACGGCUAAGUUCUGUUCAGCUGCUUUAGGUUACUCUCCCAUAUGGCUGAGUUGACUGUUCAGCUACUGUAGGUUAUUCUCCCAUAUGGCUGAGUUGACUGUUCAGCUACUGUAGGUUAUUCUCCCAUAUGGCUGAGUUGACUGGUCAGCUACUGUAGGUUAUUCUCCAUAUGGCUGAGUUGACUGUUCAGCUACUGUAGGUUAUUCUCCAUAUGGCUGAGUUGACUUUUCAGCUACAUGCUACUGUAGGUUAUUCUCCCAUGCUACUGUAGGUUACUCUCCCAUGCUACUGUAGGUUACUCUCCCAUGCUACUGUAGGUUACUCUCCCAAGCUACUGUAGGUUACUCUCCCAUGCUACUGUAGGUUACUCUCCCAUGCUACUGUAGGUUACUCUCCCAUGCUACUGUAGGUUACUCUCCCAAGCUACUGUAGGUUACUCUCCCAAGCUACUGUAGGUUACUCUCCCAAGCUACUGUAGGUUACUCUCCCAUGCUACUGUAGGUUACUCUCCCAUGCUACUGUAGGAUAAUAUCUGGAUUGUUUCAUAAUAACUCUUGUCUGGUGUGGGAUGUGCAGUUCCGGAGUGCAGAGAAUAACUUGUACUGAUGUGGAUUGGAGCAAACAAACCAUCUACAUAGUGGUGAUGUGUACGUUUUAGAUUAUAUUAUUACUAUUAUUUUAUUAAG
rnacentral:lncRNA from 1 species